rnacentral:rRNA from 1 species
CGGUAAUACGGGAGUGGCAAGCGUUAUCCGGAAUUAUUGGGCGUAAAGCGUCCGCAGGCGGCUUUUCAAGUCUGCUGUUAAAGCGUGGAGCUUAACUCCAUCAUGGCAGUGGAAACUGAAAGGCUUGAGUAUGGUAGGGGCAGAGGGAAUUCCCGGUGUAGCGGUGAAAUGCGUAGAUAUCGGGAAGAACACCAGUGGCGAAGGCGCUCUGCUGGGCCAUUACUGACGCUCAUGGACGAAAGCCAGGGGAGCGAAAGGGAUUAGAUACCCCUGUAGUCCUGGCCGUAAACGAUGAACACUAGGUGUCGGGGGAAUCGACCCCUUCGGUGUCGUAGCUAACGCGUUAAGUGUUCCGCCUGGGGAGUACGCACGCAAGUGUGAAACUCAAAGGAAUUGACGGGGGCCCGCACAAGCGGUGGAGUAUGUGGUUUAAUUCGAUGCAACGCGAAGAACCUUACCAGGGUUUGACAUCCUGCGAACCUCUUAGAAAUUUGAGGGUGCCUUCGGGAAUGCAGUGACAGGUGGUGCAUGGCUGUCGUCAGCUCGUGUCGUGAGAUGUUGGGUUAAGUCCCGCAACGAGCGCAACCCACGUUUUUAGUUGCCAGCAUUUAGUUGGGCACUCUAGAAAGACCGCCGGUGAUAAACCGGAGGAAGGUGUGGAUGACGUCAAGUCAUCAUGCCCCUUACACCCUGGGCUACACACGUACUACAAUGCUACGGACAAAGGGCAGCAAACUCGCGAGAGCUAGCAAAUCCCAUAAACCGUGGCUCAGUUCAGAUCGUAGGCUGCAACUCGCCUACGUGAAGUAGGAAUCGCUAGUAAUCGCAGGUCAGCAUACUGCGGUGAAUACGUUCCCGGG